GCGGGGGCCACAAAGCCUACCAAACGCUAUCAAACUUCGAAUACCAUACAAUGCAGACCAUGGGAGUCAGUCCGCGAGAGAUAAGUUCCGCGGGCAAAAGGGGAACACCCCAGAUCAACCGCUAAGGUCCCCAAGUUCACGUUAAGUGGAGAAGGAUGUGGAAUUGCACAGACAACCAGGAUGUUGGCUCAGAAGCAGCCACACAUUUAAAGAGUGCGUAAUAGCUCACUGGUCGAGUGAUUGUGCGCCGAAGAUGUCCGGGGCUAAACGUGACACCGAAGCGAUGGGUGCAUCUGAAAGGAUGCGCGGUAGAGGAGCAAUGUGCAGAGGCAGAAGCCGUAUCGAGAGGCACGGUGGACACUGCACAAGAGAGAAUGCCGGUAUGAGUAGCGAGAGGCAUGCGAGAAACAUGCCCGUCGAAAGCCCAAGGUUUCCUGGGGAAGGUUCAUCCGCCCAGGGUAAGUCGGGGCCUAAGCCGAGGACGGAAGUCGUAGGCGAUGGACAGCAGGUGUAGAUUCCUGCACUACCGAUGGAAUGAAGCAGUGACACAGAAGGAUAACUCGAGCAGGGUGAUGGUCAACCCUGUGCAAGCAUCAAGGUUGGGUUGUAGUGAAGUACGCAAUCCUAUAAGCUGAGAUGUGAUGCGGACCGAAAUUUCAGUAGGGAAGCGAGUGAGUUCACGCUGGCGAGAAAAGCUGCUAGUACAUCCAAAGGUACCCGUACCGGAAACCGACGCAGGUGGGCGAGGAGAGAAUCCUGAGACGGACGGGAGAACUCUUGUUAAGGAACUCGGCAAAAUGACCCCGUAACUUCGGGAGAAGGGGUGCCUCGAAAGAGGCCGCAGAGAAUAGUCACAAGCGACUGUUUAGCAAAAACACAGGUAUCUGCGAAAGCGAGAGCUGACGUAUAGGUGCUGACGCCUGCCCGGUGCUGGAAGGUUAAGGGGAAGUGUUAGGGGAAACCCGAAGCAGAGAACCGAAGCCCCAGUAAACGGCGGCCGUAACUAUAACGGUCCUAAGGUAGCGAAAUUCCUUGUCGGGUAAGUUCCGACCCGCACGAAUGGCGUAACGACUUGUGAGCUGUCUCAACAGGAGGCCCGGUGAAAUUGAAGUAUGUGUGAAGAUGCACAUUACCCGCGACUGGACGGAAAGACCCCGUAGAGCUUUACUGUAACCUGACAUUGGAUCUUGAUAACGGAUGCACAGGAUAGGUGGGACGCUGGGAGACGAGGACUUUGGUUUUCGUGGAGCGGCCGUUGGGAUACCACUCUUCUGUUAUUGAGAUUCUAACCUCAAGCCGUGAGCCGGAUGAGAGACAGUGUCAGGCGGACAGUUUGACUGGGGCGGUCGCCUCCGAAAGAGUAACGGAGGCGCCCAAAGGUACCCUCAGAAUGGAUGGAAACCAUUCGAAGAGAGCAAAGUCAGAAGGGUGCUUGACUGCGAGACCAACAAGUCGAGCAGGUACGAAAGUAGGGCUUAGUGAUCCGGCGGUAAGAGAGUGGAAUUGCCGUCGCUCAACGGAUAAAAGCUACCUCGGGGAUAACAGGCUGAUCUCCCCCAAGAGUUCACAUCGACGGGGAGGUUUGGCACCUCGAUGUCGGCUCGUCGCAUCCUGGGGCUGAAGCAGGUCCCAAGGGUUUGGCUGUUCGCCAAUUAAAGCGGCACGCGAGCUGGGUUCAGAACGUCGUGAGACAGUUCGGUCCCUAUCCAUCGUGGGCGAAGGACACAUGAGAGGAGCUGCUCCUAGUACGAGAGGACCGGAGUGGACGCAUCACUGGUGCAACUGUUGUCGUGCCAACGGCACAGCAGGGAAGCGAAAUGCGGACGGGAUAAACGCUGAAGGCAUCUAAGCGUGAAGCCCACCUCAAGAAUAAGUGUCCCAUUCGAAAGAAGUAAGACCCCUGGAAGACUACCAGGUGAUAGGUCAUCGGUGAAAGAGUGGUAACAUUUGGAGCUUGAUGAUACUAAUCGGUCGAGGACUUGAUCU
rnacentral:rRNA from 1 species